rnacentral:sRNA from 1 species
AUGAUCCUGCUUCUUCAGGUGAUUUUUCGAACGUGACGGUCAAAUAGCGAUGCCCGCCGCCGAUGUAAAGGCGACGGGCAUUGCGUGC